rnacentral:rRNA from 1 species
AUUGAACGCUGGCGGCAUGCCUAACACAUGCAAGUCGAACGCCCUCUUCGGAGGGAGUGGCGCACGGGUGCGUAACGCGUGGGAACCUGCCCUUAGGUUCGGAAUAACUCAGAGAAAUUUGAGCUAAUACCGGAUAAUGUCUUCGGACCAAAGAUUUAUCGCCUUUGGAUGGGCCCGCGUUGGAUUAGCUAGUUGGUGGGGUAAAGGCCUACCAAGGCGACGAUCCAUAGCUGGUCUGAGAGGAUGAUCAGCCACACUGGGACUGAGACACGGCCCAGACUCCUACGGGAGGCAGCAGUGGGGAAUAUUGGACAAUGGGCGAAAGCCUGAUCCAGCAAUGCCGCGUGAGUGAUGAAGGCCUUAGGGUUGUAAAGCUCUUUUACCCGAGAUGAUAAUGACAGUAUCGGGAGAAUAAGCUCCGGCUAACUCCGUGCCAGCAGCCGCGGUAAAGUGACUACUG